rnacentral:rRNA from 1 species
UACGUAGGUGGCGAGCGUUGUCCGGAUUUAUUGGGCGUAAAGCGCGCGCAGGCGGUGCGGUAAGUCCGCUGUGAAAUCUCCCGGCUCAACUGGGAGGGUGCGGCGGAGACUGCCAGACUAGAGGCACUCAGAGGCCGGUGGAAUUCCCGGUGUAGUGGUGAAAUGCGUAGAUAUCGGGAGGAACACCAGUGGCGAAGGCGGCGAUCUGGGAAGAUACUGACGCUGAGGUGCGAAAGCGUGGGGAGCAAACAGG